ensembl:lncRNA
UCUCUUCUCUGCUGAGAUACUUAGGAGGGGCCCACUCCUCCUGCUGCUGGCCAGCAUUCACUGAGUGCACACUCUAUGCCAGGUGCUGCUGCCCCAGGGACCUCAGAUGAGUUAACCCAUUUCAUCUUCACAACAACUCUAUGAGAUUCUCUGGUGAAGUGGAUGUAAAGUGUGGAGCAUCCACAGGCAGGCACGGAGCUCCACAGAAGACCCCAGUAAAGAUGCAGCUUCACCUUGUUCCUUCUAAACUUUGCUCUGAACUUUGAACGCCACAAUGGCAAGAAUCAUGUGUAGCAAAUGAGUCGUGGCUCCAAAACCAGUCCAAGGAGGUUACUAUAGUUCUUUGUCAACAAACCAUCUUAACACACCAAGUCAGUAUAAAUGACUUUUGACUAUCAUUAAAGAGGUGAGAUGGAUGCUGUCAUCUCCUAGGUGAUGGACCCAUUGACAUGAGGCAAGCGCUGGGGCACCAUGGCAACACAUCCUGCAAGCUUUGCACUAAGGGUUUUAAUACCGUUUGACAAUCACUUUGAUUUCAUCUGGCACCAUCACUCCACAAUUACAUCUCCAGUCCCUGCCAUUUUGGAGAGCAUGCUAUCCUCGAAUUUAAUGCUCCCUCAGCUCCCAGGUAUAGAGACACCUUUACAAAUGACUGGAGGAGACCUUCUUGUUCCUUGUCUGGCUAAUGUCACUUUAAGUGCACUCAGCCUGCCGUGUGGCCCUUUUGGCAUGUCAUUUUAAUGGAUUACUGGACAGAAGCCAUAAAAGGAAGCCCUAUGCUUGGAGACCAUAUCCGAGAGAAUGGAAGAUAUGAUUAAUAGUGGGCUUUUAGCUUUUAUAGAAUGUCAUCCUUCUUCAAGAGGGCUGCUAAAGGCUUUCAAAAUAAACUACCUUGUAAAAUGACACAGGUUCAUAUAUCCUGAUUUUUGGAGGGCUGAAGGACCCUGUUUCAUUCAUGCAGUGCAUUAGAAAACUAAAAGCCCAUUUUUUGUAUUCCAAAGUGGAAAUGGCAGAAAUGCCCUCAUUCACUUUUGAAUUCCUUUUUUCUGCAUUGGAGUCUGUGGAUGUCUUGACUGGGUUGGUAUUUUUGGAGCACCUCCAGUUAUUUUUUGUUUUCCCCUUUCUAGUCAUGAUUGUACCAAUUUGCAGUGUCACUGACAACAUAAUAGACGUCUCCUCUCUAUAUUUUCAUUAUCACUUUUUGUUUGUUUCAGACAGAGUCUCAACCAUGUAGCCUUGACUGACCUAGAAUUCACUAUGUAGACCAGGCUAACUUGAAACUCACAAAGUUCUGCCUGUUGACUGCCUCCCAAGUGCUGAGGUUGUUAAAGAUGCCACCACACAUUUCAUUACAGUGUGCAUUUGUAUUCUUCCUACAAAUAUACCAUCUUAUUUCUUCUAUUGUCCAGUCCUUGGGAAAUAGGUGAUGUUUUAAGUAUAAAAACAGCAAUUUUUGCAGCUCACCGUCCUUAUUUGAAGUGCCAAUCCCCCCCACACACACACACUUUGGAGGCUCACAUCCUUGUUUUGCCUCUUACCAUGUCCAGUCUUCCUUGAAGUGAAGGAGCUCCCCAAUGACCUCUCCCACUCCCCUUGAGUUUCUUUUUCUCCAGCCCUAUACUAGAAGCUUGGAAAAUGGAAGCUGGAGUCGUGGCUGACAAGCAAAAAUUUUUAUUUCUAGCUCUCUCCUCAUUACAUUCCAAUUUAAUAACUGACAGUGACUUGCAAACCAUUUGAAGAGAGACGGACAAUGUUGAUUGACUCUUCAGGUUAUGGUGAUUUGCUUGAAGACAUGGGGAAAUAAACUUGUCUGAGACUGGAGCCGUAGGGACAGACACGCUGCAUCUCCAUUUGUGCCCUCUAGACAGUGCUGUACACGAUUAAGCGGGAGUUAGCCCAGACAUCUUCAACAUCCGUUGCUCCAAAGGAACCACAAUUGCUCAAAGUUGGGCCUCUAGAUGAAACCCAUUGACCAUUCCUGGGCCGACUUAUACAAAGCUAUAAAAUCGUUAGUGCAUCCAGGUGGUUUCUUACAGCUACCACACUCCUGCCCCUGGUUCCUAUCCAUUGUUCUGUAAGUAAUGGUUCCUCCGGGUGAACUUUGAUGGACUGACACCUUGAUUUGUCGUUGGAGCCAUAGGAAGAACUGGAAGCCAACAUGCUUUGAUUUUGAACCACUUACUAAAUAAUGACAGGGCCCAGGGAGACAGCUCACUAUCUGCAGGUAAAGGUCUCUAACCCAAUGACCUGAGUUUGAUCUCCUGGGUUGGGGAAGGGUGCAAUUGGUGGAAGGAGAAACCUGACUCCCACACCCAAAAUAAAUAAAUGUAAGGGGGGGGAGAUGAAUUAUGGACUUGUGAUGGCCAAUAAUAAAAUGCAGAUCUAUAGAAAAUGAUUUUUUUAAAUUUAUUAGAUUUAUUCAUUUGUAUAUGUGUGAGUGCUUUACUUGCAUGCAAGUCUCUUCAUUACACAGGUGCAGUGCUCAUGGAGGCCAGAGAAGAACCCUUGGAAUUGGAAUUAUGGACAGUUUUGAGAUGCCCUGUGGGUGCUGGGAAUUGAACCUGGGUCCAAGAGCAGCCAGUGCUCUUAACCACUGAGCCAUCUCUCCAACCCUGAUUUUUUUGUUUUUUAAGGUAGGACUCACAUGUCACUGAUGCUGGUCUCAGACUCUGCCUGUCUCCACACCCCAAGUCCUGAAAUUAAUUUAUUGUUAACAUCCUGUCAUUUCACGGGAUUUCCCAGGGGACAGCUUUCAAGUACCCAUGUAGGAGGAAGGACUAUAGGCAAAAACCCCUGUGCACCUUGCUGAGCAGGUACAACAAACCAAAUGGCAAAGAUUUGCUGGUGUU